rnacentral:lncRNA from 1 species
GCCGUUGCACAUGACCUGCAGGUUCACAGCUGUGAACCACAGCACUCACUGCUUUCUUCAUGCAUUUCAACUAUCCCUGAAUGACAGGUACGAAUUCAUAGCAAAUCCUAACAUGACCGAUGCAACUCAGCCAGCAACUCUUACCACGGAAAAGGGUCCAACAGUCUAACGUCAGAAAAAAUGGACACACAAAUGUUAAGCGCAUGUAACUGUACCACAAAACAGCCACUAUUGUCUUCUUAUUAAAGCGCUCAAUCCUCGCCUCCGCUGGUGUCAUCUUCACGAACGACGGCAUAUAUCUGCAUAUGAAAGGAUCACAACAAAUCAUUGUUUAGGCAGGAACAUAUACCCCGCCGGCGGACGGUCCCCUGUCCGCAACGCCGUACAUCCUGACCGUUCCAGCGGACGGCUAGCGGACGGUCAUGGAAACGAUGGUCCAAAGCUCCAAAACAUCUGUAUGUAGAUGAUUCAUGAGACGCUAAUAAUUAAUGCUCCAGCUUGCACUCCUUGGCAAGCAAUUAACGCGCAAAACACUCGCCAGGAGAAACUAACCCCAAAAUUGUGACGCACAUAGCCAAAAGGCUUCUAGCAUAAAAGGAGAAAGCAAUCGAAAGGAAAAAGACAACAUCCGAAGGCGCGCGGCGGACAUUCUAAUGACCUGUUUAUGUAACCUGCUUAAAUAACACCAACGCACUGGAACAAUUGAAUCAUGCAAUAAGGUCAUUGCAAUGGCCACAAGCACUGGGCAUUAGUGAAAGGGAUUCAGCAAAGACUGACCGUCACGCCCAACACGUCGUUCCAUCCCUUUGUCGGCUCUGAAUGGCACAAUGAAUGCUCUACUGGGUAAAUGAUCAUUUGGCGGUGGAAAGAGGCCAUUGUAUAGCAUCCGAGCUGGCGCACAGCUUGCGCAUGUCCCCAAGACCCAACACGGCACCACGCCCCGCACCCGGUUACGCCCUUGUCCUGCAUUCCACCUGCCAGCCUGUCUGUGCAACACAGCGCAUGGCGGGCAGGCCAAUGAAGCCAUACCAAAGUUUCGUUCAAGACUGGGGUCCCAAGCUCUCAGAAUCCCAGGCUGCCAGGCUCCCAGGCACAUAGGCUGCCAGGCACAAAGUCUCUUAGAAUCCCAGGUUCCCAGGCUCCCAGGCACACAGGCUCCCAGGCACACAGGCUCUUAGCAUCCCAGGCUGCCAGGUUCCCAGCCUGCCAGGCACACAGGCUGCCAGGCACAAAGGCUCUUAGAAUCCCAGGCUGCUAGGUUCCCAGGCUGCCAGGCACAAAGGCUCUUAGAAUCCCAGGCUGCCAGGCUGCCAGGUUCCCAGGCACACAGGCUCCCAGACUCUUAGCAUCCCAGGCUGCCAGGUCCCCAGGCUCCCAGGUUCCCAGGCUCUCAGAAUCCCAGACUCCCAAGCACACAUGCCCUCAGAAUCCCAGGCUUCCAGGUUCCCAGGCUCUCAGAAUCCCAGGCUCCCAGGCACACAUGCUCUCAGAAUCCCAGGCUCCCAGGCACACAUGCUCUUCGAAUCCCAGGCUCCCAGGUACACAUGCUUUUAGAAUCCCAGGCUUACAGGCACACAUGCUCCCAGGUACACAGGCUCUCAGAAUCCCAGGCUGCCAGGUUCCCAGACUCUUAGGUUCCAAGGCUCCCAGGCUCCCAGGCUCUCAGAAUCCCAGGCUCCCAGGCACACACGCUCUUAGAAAGCCAGGCUGCCAGGUCCCCAGGCUCCCAGGUUCCCAGGCUCUCAGAAUCCCAGGCUCCCAAGCACGCAUGCUCUUAGAAUCCCAGGCUCCCAGGUCCCCAGGCUCCCAGGUUCCCAGGCUCUCAGAAUCCCAGGCUCCCAGGUUCCCAGGCUCUCAGAAUCCCAGGCUCCCAGGCACACAAGCUCUUAGAAAGCCAGGCUGCCAGGUCCCCAGGCUCCCAGGCACACAGGCUCUCAGAAUCCCAGGCUGCCAGGUUCCCAGACUCUUAGGUUCCAAGGCUCCCAGGCUCCCAGGUUCCUAGGCUCUCAGAAUCCCACGUCUGUAAUUUUUCCACGUGACUAUAGACGAACUAUUUUGAGUUUUAGACGGCUCGUCUAUAGCUGAGUUUUUUAGACGAUAUAGACGACCGUCUAAUAGACGACCCAUAGACGACCGUCUAUACCCAGUCGUCUAUAGACAGGUCGUCUAUAGAUUACGUCUAUAGACGACGCGGAUAUAGACGGUUAUCUAUAGACAAGUCGGAUAUAGACACUGUCUAUAGACAGUCGGGUAUAGGCUAUUAUCUUUUAGACGGCAGUGGAUGGCGGGCAUCGUUCCUUAUUCAUGUGUUACAAUCUCAAGUCGUUUCCUCUCUGAACUUCCACCAGGGCUUCAUCCACCAUGUUAAUCAGGUUCCGGGUCCAGGUUUGUCAUUGCCAUUGACACUAGCAAACCAGUGGUUGUCAUCAACCUUGGCUGAUGAAACCUCAACCUUGGUUGUCAUCAACGACAUCAAUAUCCACAGUAUCCAAAUCCAUGUCUCCUUUAGGCAUACACAAGGCAUGCGCUUCCAGGCUCCAACCAUCCCAGCAUCACAAGUACUGAGUACUACUUAAACCAUGAGUGCUUCUCCUUUUCCUUUUCCAUAAGGACCCUGGUAAGCUCUUCCCGAGCCGCCGAGGGCUGCAAAUCCUUCCGUGCCCUCACCUCAUCCAUCACCUCCUCACUCACAACAGGAAUCAGGUCAUCUGGGGGCAACCCCACCAGGUCAUUCAAGACAAACUUAGGGUUCAGCUCGGCAGCUGUGUGCCCACCCUUGCUGUUACCAGUCACAACCCUGCGUGACUUCCCACCCUUCCCACUGGCACUGGGUGCCUGUGCCCCCUUGCCCUUUGGGGGCACACAGACAAUGCAAACCCGCUGCAGCACUGUCUCCAGCGGUAUGCAGCCGAAUGAUGCGGCUGGCUGGCCACUCCGCCUGUCAAGGGUCACGAGUGGGUGCAAAUGUGGGAUUAGUGUUUGUGGGGCUGUCAGUGUCCCCAGGGCAGGGUUAGACCUGAUCUGCCCAUGCGAUGGCCCUUCAAGUCAAGAACCUCCUGCUUCUGCAAGAUGUAGACAGCAACAGAAUGACAAAUACUACAACAUGUUCUUAUACUUUGGCCCAAAUAGACUCUGAGGUCACUCACCAGGCAGUUGCUCUCGUAUUCGUCAUCGUGUGCAGCCCCCCUGGCCGUGACAAUGUUGAGCUUGCUGGUAACCUGCAGGAGAGUACAGAAGCAAGUGACAAGCAGUGAAGCGUAGCAACUGGGGGGGGGGGGUAUCUCCAUUUUCUUGUUGGUGAAUUGGUAGCUGGCCCACAGGAUUUUGACAUAGCUUUCUUUUGGGCCGGUUGUGGUCAGGUCGGUCAUGCCAUACUGUCUAAUGUCCCUUGCUUGCGUCCUUGAAGGGUGCCAGGGCCACAUCAAGUGCGGCCUGGAGGACCUUGCGCUUCAGGGACCGGAAGGACAGGCUAUCCUUGCCCUCACCUGCAUGUGAGUGGUACACAGAGGUGGUAGUCCCACAAAGAAUUGUAGAUACCCUUCAAAGUAUCUGCAGAUGGGGUGUAGGCCUCGCCUGGAAACUGCUUGAACAGGCGCAAAAACUCCUGGAGCUUGCAACCUGCAGGCAUCACAUUUCAACUUGCAGUAAGCAUUGUGGCUUGCUAUCAACUAGGCACCAAAAACAGCAUGCUUAGAAACAGUGAGUAAUGCUGGUAAACACUGGUAACACUGGCCAAUGCUGGUAAAAACGCACCCGAGAGGUUCGCCGCGAGGAAGGUCUCCACCUCUGAAGACAAACUUUUCUCAGGUGGCUUUUCACUAUUUGCCUCUGCAUACUUGUCUAGGUGGUCAAGGUAUGAGACGCCCAUCUCGAACGUGCCAAUUGAUGGCUCGUCAAGAGGAACACUCUGCCUGCAUUCCACAUUCACCACCAGUACUGGCUCAUUGUCUGUGAAUAAUUUAUCAUUGUUGGCGACGUCUCCACCGGCAACGCAGCAGCCAGGCAGCGUUGACUCGAUAACACCCUUGCAGCCAUAGGGGUUGCGAAGGAGAUGCAGGCGCAGCUCCUUGAACUCUCGUCCACAGUGAGGGCACCUCUGGGUGGACAUAUUGAUGACCAGUCGCGGCAGGUGAGAAUGCUCAGUGAAAGUCUGGCAGUUGACCAGGGCCUCUCCCUAUGUGAUAACCAGUGAAGUAAUUGCGACACCUGUGUCACUAUCUAAUUAUAGGAAAUUACACUAAAUAGAUUUGCUGUAACGUCCUCCAGGAAUGCGCAGAAUGUCUCGCCGAGGCCUGGGCACUGCUUCACUAGCUGUGGCUGCACUACAUAAAGNNNNNNNNNNNNNNNNNNNNNNNNNNNNNNNNNNNNNNNNNNNNNNNNNNNNNNNNNNNNNNNNNNNNNNNNNNNNNNNNNNNNNNNNNNNNNNNNNNNNNNNNNNNNNNNNNNNNNNNNNNNNNNNNNNNNNNNNNNNNNNNNNNNNNNNNNNNNNNNNNNNNNNNNNNNNNNNNNNNNNCCAGGCUCCCAGGCACACAGGCUCCCAGGCACACAGGCUCUUAGCAUCCCAGGCUGCCAGGUUCCCAGCCUGCCAGGCACACAGGCUGCCAGGCACAAAGGCUCUUAGAAGCCCAGGCUGCUAGGUUCCCAGGCUGCCAGGCACAAAGGCUCUUAGAAUCCCAGGCUGCCAGGCUGCCAGGUUCCCAGGCACACAGGCUCCCAGACUCUUAGCAUCCCAGGCUGCCAGGUCCCCAGGCUCCCAGGUUCCCAGGCUCUCAGAAUCCCAGACUCCCAAGCACACAUGCCCUCAGAAUCCCAGGCUUCCAGGUUCCCAGGCUCUCAGAAUCCCAGGCUCCCAGGCACACAUGCUCUCAGAAUCCCAGGCUCCCAGGCACACAUGCUCUUCGAAUCCCAGGCUCCCAGGUACACAUGCUUUUAGAAUCCCAGGCUUACAGGCACACAUGCUCCCAGGUACACAGGCUCUCAGAAUCCCAGGCUGCCAGGUUCCCAGACUCUUAGGUUCCAAGGCUCCCAGGCUCCCAGGCUCUCAGAAUCCCAGGCUCCCAGGCACACACGCUCUUAGAAAGCCAGGCUGCCAGGUCCCCAGGCUCCCAGGUUCCCAGGCUCUCAGAAUCCCAGGCUCCCAAGCACGCAUGCUCUUAGAAUCCCAGGCUCCCAGGUCCCCAGGCUCCCAGGUUCCCAGGCUCUCAGAAUCCCAGGCUCCCAGGUUCCCAGGCUCUCAGAAUCCCAGGCUCCCAGGCACACAAGCUCUUAGAAAGCCAGGCUGCCAGGUCCCCAGGCUCCCAGGCACACAGGCUCUCAGAANNNNNNNNNNNNNNNNNNNNNNNNNNNNNNNNNNNNNNNNNNNNNNNNNNAAAAAUCACUGGUUGGAAUGGCUGUUCAUCACAGCCUGUGCUGGUGAGAGUUUUCAAAACCAGCCGGCCUGUGCUGGGAAGUUGCCAGACAUUGCAGUUAUAAAGGACCAUGACGAGCCUUUGUUGUGGGCUUGUCGAUGAGGGGUGGGCUUCACUGAAGUCUGCCCAAUUAUCUCAAACUGCUACAGUUUUGUGGUAAGGAAGUGGGAGAGGCUGGGCACUGCCUGGUCCCCACAGCAUGUGCUGGGGUUUUGUAAGUAUGGCGAUAAUCGUUACAUGCCAGGCAGUGUUAGCCUGCCAGAACCUUGCCAACAUUGAUGCAGAACAGACAUCAGCUCAGCGGCAUGGUUUAACCCAAGCAGACACUCUCCAGCAUAUUGAACUCCUCUCACCGUCUACCCAUCGUCUAUUCUUCGUCUACAAUAGAUGAAUCGACUAUAGACGACAUGUAUAGACGACUCGACUUUAGACGAACUAUUGUAGAUGACUCGUCUAAUAGACGGGUCUUCAGGAUAUAGACGACCGAAAAAAAUACAGACGCAGGCUCCCAGGCACACAAGCUCUUAGAAAGCCAGGCUGCCAGGUCCCCAGGCUCCCAGGUUCCCAGGCUCUCAGAAUCCCAGGCUCCCAGGCACACAAGCUCUUAGAAAGCCAGGCUCCCAGGUCCCGAGGCUCCCAGGUUCCCAGGCUCUCAGAAUCCUACGCUCCCAGGCACACAGGCUCUCAGAAUCCCAGGCAGCCAAGCUCCCAGGUUCCCAAGCUCCCACGCUCCCAGGUUCCCAGGCUCUCCGGUUCCCAGGCUUUUAGAAUCUCAGGCUCACAGGCACACAAGCUCUUAGAAAGCCAGGCUGCCAGGUCCCCAGGCUGCCAGGUCCCCAGGCUCCCAGGUCCCCAGGCUGCCAGGUCCCCAGGCUGCCAGGUUCCCAGGCUGCCAGGUUCCCAGGCUGCCAGGUCCCCAGGCUGCCAGGUCCCCAGGCUGCCAGGUCCCCAGGCUGCCACGCUCCCAGGUCCCCAGGCUGCCAGGUCCCCAGGCUGCCAGGUCCCCAGGCUGCCAGGUCCCCAGGCUGCCAGGUCCCCAGGCUCCCAGGUUCCCAGGCUCCCAGAUUCGCAGGCUCUCAGAAUCCCAGGCUCCCAAGUAAACAUGCUAUCAGAAACCCAUGCUUACAGAAUCCCAGGCGCCCACACUCCCACGUUCCGAGGUUCCUAGGCACACAGGCUUUUAGAAUCCUAGGCUUCCAGGCACACAGGCUCUCAGACACACAGGGUCCCAUGCACACAGGUCGCCCAUGGCUGCGGUCCAAGCCUGGCCCCAAACCGCCAGAUAAAUAUGCUCCUACAUCUAAUUGACUUAGCCGAAUGCUAGUUUUAGCUUUGUUUACAUUUCAUGCAUUUGCUGGCUCCUAGCGCUUGCAUCGAUGUAGCCCCCAGUAUAGCACAUUGCAUUACAUUAUCCAUGAAAAGAUUAUAAAACUUUAAUUCACUAUAAGCUCAGCAAAUUGCAAGGCUAAAGGGCUCAUCUGGACGCAGUUUGCAUGCCGUGCUGCCGGCUUGCGCAAGGAAUCUCUGCGCGCGCUCCACGCCCGCGCGCGCCGCGAGCACCAGGAUAAACUACAACAAAAUGUCUUUUGCUUCGUGCAAAAAUAUGUUGGUAUGUGUUGGUAUGUGUGCCCGGAAAGCUGUGCCGGACGGUCGACCGUCCGGCAGACCGUCCGCCAUGGACGGCCCCACCGUCCGCCAGGGGGGGUAUAUGAACCACACAUAGUUGUGAGCAUGUUACGUACAAUGACGGCUGUAGGUGUGACACCGGCAUAACGUGCCUCGAAAUAAGGCAAUAAAAAGCAUUUAGUUAAUAGCCAUGGUCUUGCAACCAGAGGCUUCAUACCUCCGAACGGCCGCUACGUGGCCUGCCACGUCCCGUUUGAGCCCGACUCUUGUUCAUAUCCUUACCACCAUCCUUGCGCUUGUCCUAUUCCUUGCGAUUCUCCUGCUCGUGUCCUUGGAAUGUAAAAUGACAAGGCAUAAUGUCAGUGUAUGCACCUGCAUGAUGGCCACUUACUGCCGGUGCCGUCUAGUCCCCCUUUUCCUGCUUUCCCCUGCUUGC